UAGAUUGAGAAAGUAUUAGUUGCUUAUAAUUCAUUCGAGAAUGACCAUAUCCAAAUUGUGGCAUUACAAUUUCAUUCCCUCGAUAUAUAAAGCAAAUAUAUUUCGCUUUUUCGUUAGUACGACAAACGUUAUAAUACUAUAUUUAUACGAUCUGGAUAGAAAAAAAAUUAAUGAUAUGGCCAGAAAGAAGUUAAGUUUAACUACCCUUCUUCUAUUCUCAAUAAUUUUAAUUAACUCGGUAACAUCCAAAUCGACAAAUAAUUACGAAGAAACUUCUGACAACUAUUCAGAUCAGAAUCGUGGUAGAGUACAAAUUAAAGUUUAUAGAGGACCAAAUAAUGAAAAAUUUGCCCCCUGGGGAUUUUGGGUUAAACAGCCAGCCNA